GACGAACCGUGCGACCGUUAUUCGGAAUCACUGGGCUUAAAGGGCGCGUAGGCGGGCCCGCAAGUCAGGGGUGAAAUCCCACGGCUCAACCGUGGAAGUGCCUUUGAUACUGCGGGCCUGGAGGGAGGUAGGGGCGUGCGGAACUUCCGGUGGAGCGGUGAAAUGCGCAGAUAUCGGAAGGAACACCGGUGGCGAAAGCGGCGCGCUGGACCUCUACUGACGCUGAGGCGCGAAAGCCAGGGGAGCAAACGGG
rnacentral:rRNA from 1 species